GACGAACGCUGGCGGCGUGCUUAACACAUGCAAGUCGAACGGAAAGGCCCUGCUUUUGUGGGGUGCUCGAGUGGCGAACGGGUGAGUAACACGUGAGUAACCUGCCCUUGACUUUGGGAUAACUUCAGGAAACUGGGGCUAAUACCGGAUAGGAGCUCCUGCUGCAUGGUGGGGGUUGGAAAGUUUCGGCGGUUGGGGAUGGACUCGCGGCUUAUCAGCUUGUUGGUGGGGUAGUGGCUUACCAAGGCUUUGACGGGUAGCCGGCCGGAGAGGGUGACCGGCGACAUUGGGACUGAGAUACGGCCCAGUCUCCUACGGGAGGCAGCAGUGGGGAAUAUUGCACAAUGGGCGGAAGCCUGAUGCAGCAACGCCGCGUGCGGGAUGACGGCCUUCGGGUUGUAAACCGCUUUCGCCUGUGACGAAGCGUGAGUGACGGUAAUGGGUAAAGAAGCACCGGCUAACUACGUG
rnacentral:rRNA from 1 species